rnacentral:rRNA from 1 species
AUGGCUGCAGGUGGGGCUUCUCUUCUUGCUGCUGUUGUUUUCUCCAUGCUGGUCAUGUCUUCCCUGGGGCGUCCGAGGCCUUUAUGCAGUGACUGUGACACACAAUGUCGUGCCAACUGCACUGCAGAGGUUAAAACCUCCUGCAGCAGUUACUGCAGCGGCGGUGGCGGCGGCCCUCGGGAGGGCUGCCGUAGAAAUAUCUUGCAGCAGUGCACUGCAAAUGGUAUCUGCUGCAGUAGCAACGGCACCUGCACUUGUGACUGCAACACUGUAGCUGAAAGUGGUUGCAAGGGGGUCACCGACGCCACCCAACUUUGCGACCCUUGCAUGCGCGGCAUCUUCGACCAGUGCUUUCCCACCUGUAACAAGGACUGCAACAACAACUGCAAGAAGAAAGGGUGCCACCAUGCCUAG